AUUGAACGCUGGCGGCAGGCCUAACACAUGCAAGUCGAACGGUAACAGGGAUCAGCUUGCUGAUUCGCUGACGAGUGGCGGACGGGUGAGUAAUGUCUGGGAAACUGCCUGAUGGAGGGGGAUAACUACUGGAAACGGUAGCUAAUACCGCAUAACGUCGCAAGACCAAAGAGGGGGACCUUCGGGCCUCUUGCCAUCGGAUGUGCCCAGAUGGGAUUAGCUAGUAGGUGGGGUAACGGCUCACCUAGGCGACGAUCCCUAGCUGGUCUGAGAGGAUGACCAGCCACACUGGAACUGAGACACGGUCCAGACUCCUACGGGAGGCAGCAGUGGGGAAUAUUGGACAAUGGGCGCAAGCCUGAUGCAGCCAUGCCGCGUGUAUGAAGAAGGCCUUCGGGUUGUAAAGUACUUUCAGCGGGGAGGAAGGGAGUAAAGUUAAUACCUUUGCUCAUUGACGUUACCCGCAGAAGAAGCACCGGCUAACUCCGUG
rnacentral:rRNA from 1 species